UACGUAGGGUGCGAGCGUUAAUCGGAAUUACUGGGCGUAAAGGGCGCGUAGGCGGUCCCAUAAGUCCUGUGUGAAAUCCCCCGGCUCAACUGGGGAAUUGCACGGGAAACUGCGGGGCUUGAGUUCGGGAGAGGGAAGCGGAAUUCCGGGUGUAGCGGUGAAAUGCGUAGAUAUCCGGAGGAACACCGGUGGCGAAGGCGGCUUCCUGGACCGACACUGACGCUGAGGCGCGAAAGCUAGGGGAGCAAACGGG
rnacentral:rRNA from 1 species